rnacentral:rRNA from 1 species
AUACGUAGGGGGCGAGCGUUGUCCGGAUUUAUUGGGCGUAAAGGGUGCGUAGGCGGCCCUGUAAGUCAGAUGUGAAAUCUCACGGCUUAACCGUGGUAAGCAUUUGAAACUGUGAGGCUUGAGUACGGGAGAGGAGAGUGGAAUUCCUAGUGUAGCGGUGAAAUGCGUAGAUAUUAGGAGGAAUACCAGUGGCGAAGGCGACUCUCUGGACUGUAACUGACGCUGAGGCACGAAAGCGUGGGGAGCAAACAGGAUUAGAUACCCUGGUAGUCCACGCCGUAAACGAUGAGUGCUAGGUGUCGGGGGUCAAACCUCGGUGCCGCAGUUAACACAUUAAGCACUCCGCCUGGGGAGUACGGUGGCAACACUGAAACUCAAAUGAAUUGGCGGGG